GAUGAACGCUAGCUACAGGCUUAACACAUGCGAGUCGCGGGGCAGCAUGGGGGUUGCUUGCAAUCCCCGAUGGCGACCGGCGCACGGGUGAGUAACGCGUAUCCAACCUGCCCUUCACCACGGGAUAACCCGGCGAAAGUCGGACUAAUACCGUAUGUUGUCCAUUGACGGCAUCCGAUUUGGACGAAAGGUUUGGCGGUGAAGGAUGGGGAUGCGUCCGAUUAGCUGGACGGCGGGGUGACGGCCCACCGUGGCGACGAUCGGUAGGGGUUCUGAGAGGAAGGUCCCCCACACUGGAACUGAGACACGGUCCAGACUCCUACGGGAGGCAGCAGUGAGGAAUAUUGGUCAAUGGGCGUAAGCCUGAACCAGCCAAGUAGCGUGCAGGAUGACGGCCCUAUGGGUUGUAAACUGCUUUUAUGCGGGGAUAAAGUGGCCCACGUGUGGGUUUUGGCAGGUACCGCAUGAAUAAGGACCGGCUAAUUCCGU
rnacentral:rRNA from 1 species